GGCCACCCUGCCUCCUCCACAUACAUAAGGUUGCUCCAGCUGGUGACCACUAGGCCACCCUGCCUCCUCCACAUACAUAAGGUUGCUCCAGCUGGUGACCACUAGGCCACCCUGCCUCCUCCACAUACAUAAGGUUGCUCCAGCUGGUGACCACUAGGCCACCCUGCCUCCUCCACAUACAUAAGGUUGCUCCAGCUGGUGACCACUAGGCCACCCUGCCUCCUCCACAUACAUAAGGUUGCUCCAGCUGGUGACCACUAGGCCACCCUGCCUCCUCCACAUACAUAAGGUUGCUCCAGCUGGUGACCACUAGGCCACCCUGCCUCCUCCACAUACAUAAGGUUGCUCCAGCUGGUGACCACUAGGCCACCCUGCCUCCUCCACAUACAUAAGGUUGCUCCAGCUGGUGACCACUAGGCCACCCUGCCUCCUCCACAUACAUAAGGUUGCUCCAGCUGGUGACCACUAGGCCACCCUGCCGCCUCCACAUACAUAAGGUUGCUCCAGCUGGUGACCACUAGGCCACCCUGCCUCCUCCACAUACAUAAGGUUGCUCCAGCUGGUGACCACUAGGCCACCCUGCCUCCUCCACAUACAUAAGGUUGCUCCAGCUGGUGACCACUAGGCCACCCUGCCUCCUCCACAUACAUAAGGUUGCUCCAGCUGGUGACCACUAGGCCACCCUGCCGCCUCCACAUACAAUUUAAGAAAAUCAUGAAGGAUAACACAAUCAUGCUUAACAGAUAUAUAUAUAUAUAAUAAACACACAAGACAAUCACAAUAUAAUACCAGCAGGCACCAGAAAGGCAGACCAUAUGCCAUACCGGGCAUUCCCCUCUCCCCUCCACCUACUUUAAUCUUACCACUCACUUUUGAGACAUGCUACAAUUUAGCCAUUUUUUUUUUCAGUGAGAAUUUGACCCAUGGCGGUUAUAAGUACCAAAUUAUUUGGGAGAUUAUUCAGAAUGUCAGCUGAGUAUAACAACCAUGUCUUUCCCCUUUUACCACUUUAAAUGUAAAAGGAACAGCGCCAGUUUAACUCUUUCUAGUUGAAUAGCUAUGGAUAGGCCAUAACUUCUACACCUGCAUUGCUUGCUCUUUGGGGUUUUAUAGGCUGAGUUUCUGUACAGCACUUUGUGACAUCAGCUGAUGUAAGAAGGGCUUUAAAAAAUACAUUUGAUUACAUUUGUUUGAUUACUAAGUCAAAGUAGUUACAAUAGUAUCUGGGAACCAUACUGUGGACAAUCUGAUGUACAAGACAAUUUUAUCUGAGCGACUCGCUCCUCCACUUUAAGCCAUCUAAGGCUUUCAAAGUGGGAAUAGUCAAGAUGCGUAAGUGCUGGAAGUUGUCUGCAAUUUAUUUUGUAUUAUCUUGGGGGGCACUACUGUCUCAGGAAGAGCAUGCAUAGUCAAAGUGGCACUGAACAAGAGCCCCUGCCAAUGUCCACAUUGCAUUCUUAUCCAGAUAUUUGGAGGUUCUAGCCAGGAACCUAAUUUUAUGGUUCACUUUGGUAAUAACAUUUUGUGCCAUGAUCUCCCCUGUCAGAUGGUUAUCUGGCACACAUCCAAGAUACUUAACAUAGUCUUUUGCUGCCACUACUAUGUCACCUACUACCACCUUAAAUUUCCUCAGUUUCACUUUGGAACCGAACAAGAUGGACUCUGUUUUUCCAAGGUGAAGUGACAGCUUAUUGUCAUUAUUGCCAUUUACUGACAUUCAGAAGUUCAACACUGAGGGCUUUCUCAACCAUAUCUUUGUCUUUGGGAAACCAACAGUGCAGAAUCAUCUGCAUAUAGGAAAAGGUCACAUGUACAGGCAGAUUUCAUAUCAUUUAUAUACAAUAUAAAUAAAAGUGGACCCAGUAUACGCCCUUGGGGAACCCCGCAGUUCCAGAUUUUGGGUUUAGACAAGGUCCCAUCCACAUUCCACCAUCUGUUUUCUUCCUUGCAGGUAAGGGCUGACCCCAAUUCACUGCUAAGUUGUUAAAGCCAAUCCAAACUUCCCAAUGCUGCCCCCCCAAGCCCUAAGAAGUUAAAGCCCAUGGCUCUUAGUUUGAUGAACAGAAUCUCAUGAUCCACUGUAUCGAACGCCUUUUGAAGAUCUAACAUAACCGUACCACAAAAUGUUCCUGUCUAUUUCCUUCCUUAUGUGCUCAGUCAGAUAUAGUAGGCGGGUGUCAGGUGGAAUGGCAUUUCCUGAAGCCCGAUUGGAGCUCAUAUAAUAGGUAAUGUCAGUCAGAUAUAGUAGGCGGGUGUCAGGUGGAAUGGGAUUUCCUGAAGCCCGAUUGGACCUCAUAUAAUAGGUAAUGUAAGGAACAUAAUCUUUUCCACGACCUUCGAUAAAGCACACGGGAUUGAGAGUCGGCCGAUAGUUUCCAUGAUCUAACGGAUUCUCUUUUUUUAUAUAACGGAAUGCCCCUUGCAGGUUUUAGUUCACUGGGAAAUACCCCUAGUUCAAAUAGACAGAUUCACAAUGUGAGUUCCACAGGGGGUGAUAAUGUACCGCAGCAUCCUUUAGAAAAUCUGGCAGGAAUCUUGUCACGGCCCGUUGCUAUGGAACGGUCAAGUUCGUUCAGCCUCUCUAGCACAGUUCACUCAAGAC